GAUGAACGCUAGCGGCAGGCCUAACACAUGCAAGUCGAGGGAGAAGCCCUUUCGGGGGCAGAAACCGGCGCACGGGUGCGUAACGCGUAUGCAACCUACCUUUCACAGGGGGAUAGCCCGAAGAAAUUUGGAUUAAUACCCCAUAAUAUUAUUGGAUGGCAUCAUUUGAUAAUUAAAACUGCGGUGGAAAGAUGGGCAUGCGUCCUAUUAGCUAGUUGGAGUGGUAACGGCACCCCAAGGCUACGAUAGGUAGGGGUCCUGAGAGGGAGAUCCCCCACACUGGUACUGAGACAGGGACCAGACUCCUACGGGAGGCAGCAGUGAGGAAUAUUGGUCAAUGGUCGGAAGACUGAACCAGCCAUGCCGCGUGCAGGAAGAAUGCCUUAUGGGUUGUAAACUGCUUUUAUAUGGGAAGAAUAAGGCGUACGUGUACGUUGAUGACGGUACCAUAUGAAUAAGCAUCGGCUAACUCCGUG
rnacentral:rRNA from 1 species